rnacentral:rRNA from 1 species
UACGUAGGUGGCGAGCGUUGUCCGGAAUUACUGGGUGUAAAGGGCGUGUAGGCGGGACGGUAAGUCAGAUGUGAAAUUCCGAAGCUUAACUUCGGCGCUGCAUCUGAAACUAUCGUUCUUGAGUGCUGGAGAGGAAAGCGGAAUUCCUAGUGUAGCGGUGAAAUGCGUAGAUAUUAGGAGGAACACCAGUGGCGAAGGCGGCUUUCUGGACAGUAACUGACGCUGAGGCGCGAAAGCGUGGGGAG